rnacentral:lncRNA from 1 species
CGAACGUGGGCGAGGUCGGGUGGUUUGUCUCGGUCUUUUGGAUCGAGGCCACCUGGGUUCGAUCUCCGCUAGUAGCACUGGGACUGUGUCCCAAAUAAAUUUAGAAAGCCUCUCGCGCGUGGAGCUACAGAGGGAGAAUGACGUGCCCGUCAUGUACAGAGCUCAUAGGAGCUCUGGUGAUCUCAAGAAGGACGCGCUUUGAUUGCUGUGUGUAGUUGUAGGUUUGUUCAUGUACGCGUAAUGGUGUGAGCGUAAGUGUGGUGUGAGUUGGUGGUACUGAACAGAUUCUACGGCACAUAUAUUUUCAUCUGAAAAUUACAUGAACGGUAGAAAUAAAUGUC